rnacentral:RNase_P_RNA from 1 species
GACAGAGGGAGCCCGACUCCCGUGCCUCCGGCAUGAGGAAAGUCCCCCCACCGGCCGGACAGGCGACCGGGCACACGCCCGGAGUCGGAGACGGCUGGCUCUGGAACAGCAACGACACCCCCCGCCCCGACCGAUGACCCGCGCGAACCGACCCGCAAGGGAAGGGAGUUAACCCGGAGAGGGCGCGUGGCUCUGCCACGUUUAGACGGGCGGGAACGGAUGGAACGGCGAAUCCUCGCCGGUGCAAGUCCGCGCCACAAGGUAGUCCGGCCACGGCGCGGACGCUCAGCCGAAUGUCGGGACGAACCGAAGGGGGCUUACUCCCCUCAGUC